UACUGGAAACGGUAGCUAAUACCGCAUAACGUCGCAAGACCAAAGUGGGGGACCUUCGGGCCUCACACCAUCGGAUGAACCCAGAUGGGAUUAGCUAGUAGGUGGGGUAAUGGCUCACCUAGGCGACGAUCCCUAGCUGGUCUGAGAGGAUGACCAGCCACACUGGAACUGAGACACGGUCCAGACUCCUACGGGAGGCAGCAGUGGGGAAUAUUGCACAAUGGGGGAAACCCUGAUGCAGCCAUGUCGCGUGUGUGAAGAAGGCCUUCGGGUUGUAAAGCACUUUCAGCGGGGAGGAAGGCGGUGGCGUUAAUAGCGCUAUCGAUUGACGUUACCCGCAGAAGAAGCACCGGCUAACUCCGUGCCAGCAGCCGCGGUAAUACGGAGGGUGCGAGCGUUAAUCGGAAUUACUGGGCGUAAAGCGUACGCAGGCGGUCUGUUAAGUCAGAUGUGAAAUCCCCGGGCUUAACCUGGGAACUGCAUUUGAAACUGGCAGGCUAGAGUCUCGUGGAGGGGGGUAGAAUUCCAGGUGUAGCGGUGAAAUGCGUAGAGAUCUGGAGGAAUACCGGUGGCGAAGGCGGCCCCCUGGACGAAGACUGACGCUCAGGUACGAAAGCGUGGGGAGCAAACAGGAUUAGAUACCCUGGUAGUCCACGCUGUAAACGAUGUCGAUUUGAAGGUUGUGGCCUUGAGCCGUGGCUUUCGGAGCUAACGCGUUAAAUCGACCGCCUGGGGAGUACGGCCGCAAGGUUAAAACUCAAAUGAAUUGACGGGGGCCCGCACAAGCGGUGGAGCAUGUGGUUUAAUUCGAUGCAACGCGAAGAACCUUACCUACUCUUGACAUCCAGAGAACAUGGCAGAGAUGCCCUGGUGCCUUCGGGAACUCUGAGACAGGUGCUGCAUGGCUGUCGUCAGCUCGUGUUGUGAAAUGUUGGGUUAAGUCCCGCAACGAGCGCAACCCUUAUCCUUUGUUGCCAGCGAUUCGGUCGGGAACUCAAAGGAGACUGCCGGUGAUAAACCGGAGGAAGGUGGGGAUGACGUCAAGUCAUCAUGGCCCUUACGAGUAGGGCUACACACGUGCUACAAUGGCGCAUACAAAGAGAAGCGAUCUCGCGAGAGUCAGCGGACCUCAUAAAGUGCGUCGUAGUCCGGAUUGGAGUCUGCAACUCGACUCCAUGAAGUCGGAAUCGCUAGUAAUCGUGGAUCAGAAU
rnacentral:rRNA from 1 species